GGCACUCAUAUAUAUAUAUAUAUAUAUAUAUAUAUAUAUAUAUAUAUAUAUGUAUGUAUGUAUAAUGCCCU